rnacentral:rRNA from 1 species
ACGAAGGGGGCUAGCGUUGCUCGGAAUUACUGGGCGUAAAGGGCGCGUAGGCGGCACUGUUAGUCAGGCGUGAAAUUCCUGGGCUCAACCUGGGGACUGCGCUUGAUACGGCAGAGCUAGAGGGUGGAAGAGGCUCGCGGAAUUCCCAGUGUAGAGGUGAAAUACGUAGAUAUUGGGAAGAACACCGGUGGCGAAGGCGGCGAGCUGGUCCAUUACUGACGCUGAGGCGCGACAGCGUGGGGAGCAAACAGGA